UACGUAGGGUGCGAGCGUUAAUCGGAAUUACUGGGCGUAAAGCGUGCGCAGGCGGUUCGUUAUGUCCGAUGUGAAAGCCCCGGGCUCAACCUGGGAAUGGCAGUGGAUACUGGCAAGCUAGAGUGCGGUAGAGGGUAGUGGAAUUCCCGGUGUAGCGGUGAAAUGCGUAGAGAUCGGGAGGAACACCGGUGGCGAAGGCGGGUCUCUGGGCCGAAAUUGACGCUGAGGAGCGAAAGCGUGGGGAGCAAACAGG
rnacentral:rRNA from 1 species